rnacentral:rRNA from 1 species
GAUGAACGUUGGCGGCGUGCCUAAUACAUGCAAGUCGAACGAAGACUGUAGUAAUACUGUCUUAGUGGCAACGGGUGAGUAACGCGUGGGUGACCUGCCCCGAAGUGUGGGAUAACAGUCCGAAAGGAUUGCUAAUACUGCAUAAUAUCCAAGAGAUUUAGAUGCUUUUGGAUUAAAGGAGUAAUUCGCUUCGGGAGGGGCCCGCGUCCCAUCAGCUAGUUGGUAAGGUAAUGGCUUACCAAGGCGAUGACGGGUAGGGGACCUGAGAGGGUGGCCCCCCACAAUGGAACUGAAACACGGUCCAUACACCUACGGGUGGCAGCAGUAGGGAAUAUUAGUAAUGGGCGAAAGCCUGAACUAGCAACGCCGCGUGUGCGAAGAAGGCCUUCGGGUCGUAAAGCACUUUUUGAGAGGAUGAGGAAGGACGGUACUCUCAGAAUAAGUCUCGGCUAACUACGUG